rnacentral:rRNA from 1 species
GAUGAACGCUGGCGGCGUGCCUAAUACAUGCAAGUCGAGCGAAGCGGGGACGGGUGAGUAACACGUGGAUAACCUCCUAUAAGACUGGGAUAACUUCGGGAAACCGGAGCUAAACCGGUUACUUACAGUUUGAUCCGCGCUGCAUUAGCUAGUGGGUAAGGUAACGGCUUACCAAGGCAACGAUGCAUAGCCGACCUGAGAGGGUGAUCGGCCACACUGGGACUGAGACACGGUCCAGACUCCUACGGGAGGCAGCAGUAGGGAAUAUUCCGCAAUGGGCGAAAGCCUGACGGAGCAAUGCCGCGUGUGUGAUGAAGGUCUUCGGAUCGUAAAGCACUGUUAGUAGGGAGGCGGUACCUAAUCAGAAAGCAACGGCUAACUACGUGCCAGCAGCCGCGGUAAUAC